CCUACGGGAGGCAGCAGUGGGGAAUUUUCCGCAAUGGGCGAAAGCCUGACGGAGCAAUACCGCGUGAGGGAAGACUGCCUAUGGGUUGUAAACCUCUUUUUUCAGGGAGGAGUAAAAUGACGUGUACCUGAAGAAUAAGCAUCGGCUAACUCCGUGCCAGCAGCCGCGGUAAGACGGAGGAUGCAAGUGUUAUCCGGAAUCACUGGGCGUAAAGCGUCUGUAGGUGGUUUAAUAAGUCAACUGUUAAAUCUUGAGGCUCAACUUCAAAACCGCAGUCGAAACUAUUAGACUAGAGUAUAGUAGAGGUAAAGGGAAUUUCCAGUGGAGCGGUGAAAUGCGUAGAUAUUGGAAAGAACACCGAUGGCGAAAGCACUUUACUGGGCUAUUACUAACACUCAGAGACGAAAGCUAGGGUAGCAAAUGGGAUUAGAUACCCCAGUAGUCCUAGCCGUAAACUAUGGAUACUAGAUGUUGAACAGAUCGACCUGUGCAGUAUCAAAGCUAACGCGUUAAGUAUCCCGCCUGGGAAGUAUGCUCGCAAGAGUGAAACUCAAAGGAAUUGACGG
rnacentral:rRNA from 1 species